UCCAGUUUAUCACCGGCAGUCUCUCUAGAGUGCCCACCAUAACGUGAUGGCAACUAAAGACAAAGGUUGCGCUCGUUGCGGGACUUAACCCAACACUUCACAGCACGAGCUGACGACAGCCAUGCAGCACCUGUGUAAAGGUCCCUUGCGGGAAGACGCGCUUUCACGCGUUGUCCUAAACAUGUCAAGCCUGGGUAAGGUUCUUCGCGUAGCCUCGAAUUAAACCACAUGCUCCACCGCUUGUGCGGGUCCCCGUCAAUUUCUUUGAGUUUCAGUCUUGCGACCGUACUCCCCAGGUGGUGGAUUUAAUGCGUUAGCGUCGGCGCCGAGGAGAUCGACAUCCCCGAUACCUAAUCCACAUCGUUUACGGCAAGGACUAC
rnacentral:misc_RNA from 1 species